CAGCAGCCGCGGUAAUACAGAGGGUGCGAGCGUUAAUCGGAUUUACUGGGCGUAAAGCGUGCGUAGGAGGCUUCUUAAGUCGGAUGUGAAAUCCCUGAGCUUAACUUAGGAAUUGCAUUCGAUACUGGGAAGCUAGAGUAUGGGAGAGGAUGGUAGAAUUCCAGGUGUAGCGGUGAAAUGCGUAGAGAUCUGGAGGAAUACCGAUGGCGAAGGCAGCCAUCUGGCCUAAUACUGACGCUGAGGUACGAAAGCAUGGGGAGCAAACAGGAUUAGAUACCCGGGUAGUCCCUGUCUCUUAUAC
rnacentral:rRNA from 1 species